UACGUAGGGGCCUAGCGUUGUCCGGAAUUAUUGGGCGUAAAGAGCUCGUAGGCGGUUCGGCAAGUCGGAUGUGAAAUCUCCACGCUUAACGUGGAGGGGCCAUUCGAAACUGCUGUGACUCGAGUCCGGUAGGGGAGUGUGGAAUUCCCGGUGUAGCGGUGAAAUGCGCAGAUAUCAGGAGGAACACCUGUGGUGUAGACAGCUUACUGGACCAUUUCUGACGCUGAGACACGAAAGCGUGGGUAGCAAACAGG
rnacentral:rRNA from 1 species